rnacentral:tRNA from 1 species
GGGAGGGUGCCGGAGUGGCUGAACGGGGCGGCCUGCUAAGCCGUUGUACGCGCAAGUGUACCGUGGGUUCGAAUCCCACCCCUCCCG